GAUGAACGCUAGCUACAGGCUUAACACAUGCAAGUCGAGGGGAAACGCCAUCGAAAGCUUGCUUUUGAUGGGCGUCGACCGGCGCACGGGUGAGUAACGCGUAUCCAACCUGCCCAUCACUUGGGAAUAACCUUGCGAAAGUAAGACUAAUACCCAAUGAUAUCCCACGAAGGCAUCGGAAUGGGAUUAAAGAUUUAUCGGUGAUGGAUGGGGAUGCGUCUGAUUAGCUUGUUGGCGGGGUAACGGCCCACCAAGGCAACGAUCAGUAGGGGUUCUGAGAGGAAGGUCCCCCACAUUGGAACUGAGACACGGUCCAAACUCCUACGGGAGGCAGCAGUGAGGAAUAUUGGUCAAUGGGCGAGAGCCUGAACCAGCCAAGUAGCGUGCAGGAAGACGGCCCUAUGGGUUGUAAACUGCUUUUAUAAGGGAAUAAAGUGGGUCACGUGUGACUUUUUGCAUGUACCUUAUGAAUAAGGACCGGCUAAUUCCGUG
rnacentral:rRNA from 1 species